GACGAACGCUGGCGGCGUGCUUAACACAUGCAAGUCGAGCGGUAAGGCCCUUUCGGGGGGUACACGAGCGGCGAACGGGUGAGUAACACGUGGGUGACCUGCCCUCAGCUCUGGGAUAAGCCUGGGAAACCGGGUCUAAUACCGGAUAUGACUCCAUGACGCAUGUUGUGGGGUGGAAAGCCUUGUGCGGCUGAGGAUGGGCCCGCGGCCUAUCAGCUUGUUGGUGGGGUGAUGGCCUACCAAGGCGACGACGGGUAGCCGGCCUGAGAGGGCGACCGGCCACACUGGGACUGAGACACGGCCCAGACUCCUACGGGAGGCAGCAGUGGGGAAUCUUGCGCAAUGGGCGAAAGCCUGACGCAGCGACGCCGCGUGA
rnacentral:rRNA from 1 species